rnacentral:sRNA from 1 species
GGAAGAAAGUAAGAAAAUCGAAAAGAACAGAAAGAAAAGGAAUCCAGAGCCUGGUGGUGGCGAAUUCCCGCUGGAAUCCUGAGCAGAACCAACAACCCAGCCACAUACCUGGACGAAAGGGUAGAAAGCGGACAUGAACAAUUUCAUGAUUCAAAGGCGAUAAACAGCCAUCCCCUUCAUCAUUCGUAAGAGAAAGAAGAUGUUGAAGAAACAAGAGGUAGAAAUAAACCCCAUUCUUCCGUCCUGGGAUGUCAGAUCAAGCUCAAGUGUCUGUCGGGACGUUAAAAUCACACCAUCCUCAACCCGCCCGCCGGAGCCUCGGUUUCUCCCGAUACCGCCACCAUCAAUCGUAGUCAUCAUCACGCUCAUGUUCCAUGUCCUGUACAUAGCACAGAACUUUGUAACUUCCCAACGACGACGAGAAGACUGAGCCAAGAUACCCCCAUGGCAUGUGGCAUGCAUGCCGCAUCGCGGAGCAUUAUUCACAACAAGCAGAUGACAGGGCACGGUGAGGAAGUGAAAUGCCAACUCAUCACUUCCAGAUCAUCCAUCCAUACGGCGGGGCGGUUUGAUCACUCUGAUCACGGCGCAAGAAGCAAAGCGGUCAAGCCCUGCGGCUGCCUGCGGAGUGCGGGGCAGCCAGCCAGAGCCAGCGCCAGCGCCAGCGCCAGCACCAGGACCAGGACCAGGCCUUCCGACUCUUUUGUUUUUGUGGAUUGUUGUUCUUCCUCAAACUCCCGUGCAGCAUGAUAUGAUAUUGAAAACCCUCUCCCCCGCGUCCGUAUCUGCGCUCAUCGAGGUCAGCAUACACAGCCACCUGAGCGAUGCGUUGGCGUCUUCCUUCUUCCAGAUUUUCCCAUGGGGCGUUAUUGUUCUUGAGUCCUUCGGCUCAAUAUGUUUUUCACUUAUUUCCCCAGCUCGUGACGGACAAGGGGUGGCGGGGUAAUUCUGUCGUUGGCUACGCGUUGGAUAUCUUUCAGCUAGGCCACUCUCGUCAGGCCAAUUUACAGAAUUGACAUCGUGGACAAAAAUGACAUAAAAAUGCAAAGUAAAAACUAUUGUUAUUAUUAUUCUUGUUAUUAUUAGUGUUGUAUUCCACUUUUCCCUUAGUACAGCAGACGCGACACAUAUAUAACGUUGAACGCUGGAAGCACGAAUAGCAAAGUUAAAGCAUGUAUGGUGGUAAUGGUAAUGGUAUAUUUAAUAUGCAACUGGCAAGAUAAGAUACAUACAUGAAAGCGAGACAUGAGAACAAAAGCGGGAAAGCGCAAGAAGUAAAAACACACAAUACACACAAAAAGACAAAUAGGGCUAUGACCACCGUUGAUCUUGCGACUGUUCUUGCUCCGGCUGAGGGGAAAAAAAAGAAAGGAUCCUUGGGGGUGGGGGUAUCUAAAAGGUCGCUGGUCUGAUAACAAUACUAUAUAUGAUGCUGGGAGGAAGACAGCAAGAUGCUUGAGGUAAAAUAAGGACGUUGGAUGAAUGGAUGAGCGAUGGGAAACAUGAAAAAGAAAAAGCAAAAACAUAGAUCCUUCCCAGGCCAGAAUUAUGCAUGCAGUUAAUGACAACUUUGAAAAAAAAAACAUCCGUUAAAGACAACAAAAUAAAUAAUAGACAAUUAAAAAUUAAAACAAUCACCAGCCCUUGACGUGAUAUUCCCAUGGGCCGUAAUCGAAAUAGUGAUUCCACGAAUUAUUCUUGGAGGUCUCCUUAUCCCGUGCGGCUGAGUUAGGCGCAGCGGCGAUAUUUUGCGACUGUGUUUGUGUCUGCUUCAGGCCAUUCAGUUUCAUAUUUGUCGUGCUUGGAUACUCCUGCAGAUUCGCCAUGUCGUGUGCUGUAUGCCGUCGCUUGAAGCCCGCGGUGACCGUGGUGGACUUCUGUUGCCGCUCCCAGAGUAGAUGUCGUCGUAGUGACUCCGUCAACUCGGUGGCGAGCAUGUUUCUUCGGGUUGUUCGGGGCGAGUGGGCUGUUUGGUGUUGGUAGGCGGGCAUUGACUUGACGAUUAUGGGUUUUGAGCGGGGGACGUCGGGGCCUUUCAUGGUGAGGGUGUUCUCGUCACUGUCUGGGGAAGCGGCGGCGGAAUUUCGCGUGGGAGAGGAGAGGCGCGAUUGUUGGAGGGCUGGUGUCGAUCGGGAGCCUGUGGGAGCUUCAUUCAUCCGUUGCGGUUGGUGGAUCAUCAUUGUUAGCAGCGAGGGGCGCGAGACGAGGUUCGGUCGCGAGUCGACGCGCUGGAAUAAUUCCUUUUCAUCAACGCUCGAUCGACCACUUUCGGGAAUCGAGUCUUCCCAUUCUGAAGAAUCAUCGUCAUCCUCGAUGGCGCUCUCUGAAAUCUCCUCAUCGUCAUCGGUCUCGAUCGCGUCCUCGUCCUCCGAGGCUUCAGUAAUUGGUCGGAUGGGUGAUCUAGAACUCAUCGAAUUUUUCAAUACGGCCAUCUUUUGCAUGGUGUCAGCAACUUGAUGUAGACCAUCUGAUAGCGAGCUGCGUUGUUGCUGUUGCUGCUGUUGUUGUUGCUGCUGUUGCUGCUGUUGCUGUUGCUGUUGUUGGAGUGGUUGUUGGGGUUUCGUCGUCAUGCGAUCCUCAAACGAGCUCUCGUCGUCACCUGAUGAGCCACCCAGGGUAAACAUCCCACCCUUCUUCUUGAGCGGUGAGCCCUUUUGUGUCACAGCUGUCUUUGAAGGAGAGGAACUUGUUGAUAUUUGUGGGUGUGAUCGGUAUGAUGAGGAAAUUUGUGAAGGGGAAAAUCCACGGACAACGCUGGAUGACUCUAAGAGUCCUGAGGACGAGACACUGGUGUCAGAGUCUGCUUGAGGAGCAUGAUCACUUUCUAAGGCUUCGAGGGCAGCUGUAGAACAUGAAUCUGACGAUUGAUGAGGGCGGACUUGAUGUGAUUCUAAUAGAUCAGGGGUGGGAGUGGGUGAGGAGGCACGGGGUGUAAUGUCAACCGUGGCGGUAGUGGUAGUUGUAAUUGACGUUGAGGGCUG